CCUGUGAUUUCAUUGAUUAUGUCAUACAUUUUAUAUGGUGAAGUAAAACAUUGUGUACCAUAUUCAUUAAAUUAUGUAGUCUUCUGUUUUUAGUGUAUACGUUUACUACAUAUAAACCAUCCCUUGGUACUAUCCGUCCAGACUGUAUGAUUAUAUAAACCAUCCUUUGGUACUAUCUGUCCAGACUGUAUGAUUAUAUAAACCAUCCUUUGGUACUAUCUGUCCAGACUGUAUGAUUAUAUAAACCAUCCUUUGGUACUAUCUGUCCAGACUGUAUGAUUAUUCUUCACACUGAAUAAUUAGGGCUAUAUGGACCGUGGAUAUCGGCCUGGAUAGCUCAGUGGUUAGAGCACUUGACUAGUAAUGCAGGGGUCCUGGGUUCGAUUCCCUGUCCAGCCAAAGAUUUUCUCCUCUCUCCUAUACUACAUUAUUUGGUGCCGUUGACCACCCCUGGAUUUGCAGGUUGUCCUGCCAGGGGCGAAAAGAACCUGGGUUAUGUGCGUCUUUGAGUGCGAAUACAAAUUAAGGAGGGAGGAAUGUAGUAAUUAGGGCUAUACGGACCGUGGAUAUCGGCCUGGAUAGCUUAGUGGUUAGAGCACCUGACUAGUAAUGCAAUGGUCCCGGGUUCGAUUUCCAGCCCAGCCAAAGAUUUUCUCCUCUCUCCUAUACUAUAGUAUUUAAGGUUCUUGUUACUAAUAUUUUAAAUUCCACUGAAGAUGUACUAAUUUAGAAUUUGAAUUUAAAAUAUGAUUUUAGUUGUAGUGAUAAGAUCAUUUGUAUUAAACACUGUACAUUAUAUACAUGUUUGAUGUUAUAUGUAUCUCAGAAGUGAUUUAAGUAGCCAGAUGUAAAUCAGUCUGAUUUAAGGUAAUACCAAACACCUGUAUAGUCAUUAAUUUGAUAAAUGAAAUCUUCAUAUAAAUACCAAUAUUCAAUGAUGUUCUGAACUAACUAAUAUAAUCCAUAACAUGUAUUUGGCAUAUUUUAAAAAAUAUGGGAGACAUCCAAUAUAUUGGAGGUCUGGGAGUCUUCAAUGUUCAUCUGUGUGAGGUUUAACUAUCUCUUGUAAAGCGUAACUUAUGUUGUGUAGCUAGUAGAGACCUGAUAUUUGAACACAUGUAUAAGCAGUAUUUUGUCUUUAAAUAGAAUGAAAGUCAAGGUCAUAUCUUUAGGCUAAAGGUCAAAUAUGAUGAUGUCAUUUGUGGAACGUGUCAUUUUUUUUCUUAAUGAAAUAAUCUAAAAA